GAAACAGGGCUAGCUCGAGUUCAAAGCCAGAACCUAGAGCUGAUCAUGGGGAAGAUGAUAGUAAAACAGUCGAUGAAGCUGGACCAGAGUCUGAAAUUGUACCUGAAGCUGCACCUGAGACACCAAAAGACUCGACUGAAGAAAGACUAAGGAGCGAUUCUAUGCAAAGUGCAACCUCUGCCUUGGAAACAAGUACCACAUGGGAAUCCAGAGUUCAUUUUCCAACUUCAUUCGACACCUCCAAAUAUUCCACAAAGAAGAGUGGGAUUAUUUUGAGUCCUCUACGGAGUCAAAGCAACCAUCAGUUACGUCAUUUAUCUCACCUCGAGUUGCGAGCCGCGAAAGCAGGGGCAGCUGGAUAGGCUUCUCUGCCAGAUGAUCAUCACAGACAAUCUUCCGCUCAAUAUUGUCAGGAGGCAAGGCUUCCGAUAGCUUUGUACCCUGGUUACAAAAUACCAUCCCUAGAAAACCUCCGAAAGCUUAUCGAUUAGCUUUUUGAACGACCGAAGGCUGCAUUAAGGGACAAGCUGAAACGUGUCAAUUCAACCUCUAUUAUAAUGGACUUGUGGUCUUCCAAAACUACGCGGGAGUACCUAGGCAUAUCCUGCACGGGCGUGACGGAGGAUAACGAGCCGUUCAACGCUUUCUUAACUCUACGGCAUACGCAAGGAAGGCAUACUGGUGCAGCAACUUUUGCCGAGUACAAGUCGGUUGUGAAGGACUGGAAUAUCAUCAACAAGUCAUUCGUGUUAUGACUGAUAUUGCAUCGAAUAUGAAGUCUGCUUUCUCUUCAAGUCUACCCAGCUGGGAGGCUGUGCCAUCUUGCGGUGGAAUGCCUUCAACGGACGACACUGACGAGUGUGACGACGAUGACGACGAUGACGACGAUGGCGACGGAUGGGUUGACUUGGAGUUGGAGAUCGACGAGGAAAUCGAGUUGUUGGUGUCGGCCGAUGGCGAGGAUCAGGAAUACAUGCAAUUAAAGUUGAAUCUUGAAGAAAUCUUUGACGAAUACUUUACGACUUCAAAAAUAGACCUUCCCUCGUUUCGUGAUUCCGUUCGUCAAGUGUUGCACACACUAUUCAACUCACUGUUAAAGACGGUUUAAAAGCCUCAAAUGUAACAUCAAUUUCUUCAGCCUUAAAACUGGCCUCUAAGACUGCAAAACACUCGACAAGCAUGUUUACUUUCGGCCAGUGUUCUGUCGAAUAAGCUUCUUCGAAUAAAAUUUU